rnacentral:lncRNA from 1 species
UGGCGACUUCAAAACAGUUACAGAGUUUAAUGGACAGUGAAACAGCAUCUCUCUGUCUCAGUAUGUGUAGACCAGGUAUCUGAUGCUGUCUGGACAGUGAAACAGCAUCUCUCUGUCUCAGUAUGUGUAGACCAGGUAUAUGAUGCUGUCUGGACAGUGAAACAGCAUCUCUCUGAUGCUGUCUGGACAGUGAAACAGCACCUCUCUGUCUCAGUAUGUGUAGACCAUGUAUCUGAUGCUGUCUGGUCAGUGAAACAGCAUCUCUCUGAUGCUGUCUGGACAGUGAAACAGCAUCUCUCUGAUGCUGUCUGGACAGUGAAACAGCAUCUCUCUGUCUCAGUAUGUGUAUACCAGGUAUAUGAUGCUGUCUGGACAGUGAAACAGCAUCUCUCUGAUGCUGUCUGGACAGUGAAACAGCACCUCUCUGAUGCUGUCUGGACAGUGAAACAGCACCUCUCUGUCUCAGUAUGUGUAGACCAGGUAUCUGAUGCUGUCUGGACAGUGAAACAGCACCUCUCUGUCUCAGUAUGUGUAGCCCAGGUAUCUGAUGCUGUCUGGACAGUGAAACAGCACCUCUCUGUCUCAGUAUGUGUAGACCAGGUAUCUGAUGCUGUCUGGACAGUGAAACAGCACCUCUCUGUCUCAGUAUGUGUAGCCCAGGUAUCUGAUGCUGUCUGGACAGUGAAACAGCGCCCCCUCUGUCUCAGUAUGUGUAGACCAGGUAUCUGAUGCUGUGUGGUCAGAAAGGGUACUGCAUGUCCUACUCUCUGAUGGAUGGGUUUCUUCCUCUGGUGAGAUGGUUUCAGCAAAGAGGAGAAUCCGUGGGCAGUGUGUGUGUGUGUGUGUGUGUGUGUGUGUGUGUGUGUAGUGUGUGUGUGUGUGUGUGUGUGUGUGUGUCUGUGUGUGUGUGUGUGUGUGUGUGUAGUGUGUGUGUGUGUGUGUGUGUGUGUGUGUGUGUGUGUGUGUGUAGUGUGUGUGUGUGUGUGUGUGUGUGUGUGUGUGUCUGUGUGUGUGUGUGUCUGUGUGUGUGUGUGUGUGU